UGCGCGUGCGCGGCAAGACCGCGGUUUGGCCCUGGACAGGCGCCGUAGACGAGAGGCUGGGUGGAUGUUGUGAGCAGGGCGCCGCGGCCGAGGCUGGGGCCCCCCAGGACCGCUGGCUGCCCUCAAGAGAUGAAGGAUGGCGUCCAAAGAGUCCAGCAUGUCUUUCUCCCGCAAGAGCUAUAGGCUGACAUCAGACGCUGAGAAGUCCAGGGUCACAGGCAUCGUGCACGAGAAACUGCUGAAUGACUACCUGCACCGCAUCUUUUCCUCUCCUGAGCACGCGCCCACUGCAGCCACCAGCAGG